rnacentral:rRNA from 1 species
AUGGAAAAAAUCAUGAAGAUCACUGAUGUGUUGUGUGUAAGACUGCAAAUUAAAUCUUUGGAUAUUUUGAAUGCUUUGGAUUAUGUGUUCACAAAGGUGCUGCUUGUUGACUUAAGAGAAAAUGGUUGGGAAUCUCUUCUUGAAGAGGUUAAUUCUUUUUGCCUGAAGCACGAGAUUGAUAUUCCGGAUUUUAAUCGCAAGUACGUUGAUGUGACCAAAUCCAGAAACAAGCAUGACAACACCACAACACUCCAUCACUACAAAAUGGAUGUAUUUAAUGUUGCCAUAGACCAACAGUUGACAGAGUUAGAUGAUCGUUUCAGUCUUCAAGCGACAGAGCUUUUAAGCCUUUGUGCAUCAUUGGAUCCAAGACGUGACACAUUUGACAUUUCAAGAAUAUGCACGCUAGUUGAAAAAUUAUAUCCUGCAGAUUUUUCUUCUUAA